AGUAUAAUGGUGCAGUGGGAGCAUUCCUUCAAUUAAAUUGAGGAGACCUGGGUUCGAUUCCUAGUUAUGCUA
rnacentral:tRNA from 1 species